rnacentral:misc_RNA from 1 species
GCUACUACCGAUUGAAUGGUUUAGUGAGGACUCCUGAUUGGCGCCGCCUCCCCGGAAACGGAGCAGCGGACUGCCGAAAAGUUGUUCAAACUUGAUCAUUUAGAGGAAGUAAAAGUCGUAACAAGGUUUCCGUAGGUGAACCUGCAGAAGGAUCAAGAUCUGAAUAGCUCACGUCUGAACUCCUUUCACGUUGCCUUAUCUCUUAUGCUGUCUUCUUCUUUCAUCCCAUUCUCUUUUUCUUCUUUCUUUUUUUUUUUUCUCUUUUCUUUUUUUCCUU